GGGCGCGUAGCUCAGUCGGUAGAGCAAGUGACUUUUAAUCACUGGGUCGCAGGUUCGAUUCCUGCCGCGCUCA
rnacentral:tRNA from 1 species